UACGGGGGGGGUAAGCGUUGUUCGGAAUUACUGGGCGUAAAGGGCUCGUAGGCGGCCAACUAAGUCGGACGUGAAAUCCCUCAGCUUAACUGGGGAACUGCGUCUGAUACUGGAUGGCUUGAGUUCGGGAGAGGGAUGCGGAAUUCCAGGUGUAGCGGUGAAAUGCGUAGAUAUCUGGAGGAACACCGGUGGCGAAGGCGGCAUCCUGGACCGAGACUGACACUGAGGAGCGAAAGCCAGGGGAGCAAACGGG
rnacentral:rRNA from 1 species